GAUGAAGAACGUAGCGAAAUGCGAUAAGUAAUGUGAAUUGCAGAAUUCAGUGAAUCAUCGAAUCUUUGAACGCACAUUGCGCCCGGUAGUAUUCUGCCGGGCAUGCCUGUUCGAGCGUCAUUUCAACCAUCAAGCCCCAGCGCUUGUGUUGGGGGCCUGCGGCUGCCGCAGCCCCCUAAAAGCAGUGGCGGGCUCGCUAUCACACCGAGUGCAGUAGUUCAUCUUCUCUCCGGUCUUGUGAGGCGGGUUCCGGCCGUGAAACACCCCACUACAUUCAAGGUUAACCUCGGAUCAGGUAGGAAUACCCGCUGAACUUAAGCAUAUCAAUAAGCGGAGGA
rnacentral:misc_RNA from 1 species